rnacentral:rRNA from 1 species
UGAUCCUGGCUCAGGAUGAACGCUAGCUACAGGCUUAACACAUGCAAGUCGAGGGGCAGCAUGUUGGUUGCUUGCAACCAAUGAUGACGACCGGCGCACGGGUGAGUAACGCGUAUCCAACCUACCCUUGUCCAUCGGAUAACCCGUCGAAAGGCGGCCUAACACGAUAUGCGGUUCACAGCAGGCAUCUAACGUGAACGAAAUGUAAAGGAGAAGGAUGGGGAUGCGUCUGAUUAG